AAAGCAUUGAGUGGUGGUAAAAAUACGAAGAUCCUUACUUUGAAUGGGAAGAAGAUGACAAAGAUGCCCUCAGCAUUAGGAAAACUGCCUGGCCUGAAGACUCUAGUCCUUCAGAAUAACCUAAUCCCCAAAGUGUGUCCAGAGUUAUGCAACUUGACCCAGUUGACAACACUAAAUCUGGGAAACAACCUUUUAGAAGAAGUUCCGGAAGAGAUGAAAUAUCUUACAUCUCUGAAGAAUCUCCAUUUAUCUGGAAAUAGGAUCUGUAGAUUUGCACCUGGAGCCUGUGAUGGCUUACAAAAUUUAAUCCUGCUUAAUCUGAACAACAAUCAUCUUACGCAGCUUCCUCAAGA
rnacentral:lncRNA from 1 species